rnacentral:tRNA from 1 species
UCCCGUGUGGCUCAGUUGGUAGAGCGUGGUGUUUGCAACGCCAGGGUUGUAGGUUCGAUUCCCACAGGGGAC